rnacentral:rRNA from 1 species
GUUGAACGCUGGCGGCAGGCCUAACACAUGCAAGUCGAGCGGAUGACGGGAGCUUGCUCCUUGAUUCAGCGGCGGACGGGUGAGUAAUACCUAGGAAUCUGCCUGAUAGUGGGGGACAACGUUUCGAAAGGAACGCUAAUACCGCAUACGUCCUACGGGAGAAAGCAGGGGACCUUCGGGCCUUGCGCUAUCAGAUGAGCCUAGGUCGGAUUAGCUAGUUGGUGAGGUAAUGGCUCACCAAGGCGACGAUCCGUAACUGGUCUGAGAGGAUGAUCAGUCACACUGGAACUGGGACACGGUCCAGGCUCCUACGGGAGGCAGCAGUGGGGAAUAUUGGACAAUGGGCGAAAGCCUGAUCCAGCCAUGCCGCGUGUGUGAAGAAGGUCUUCGGAUUGUAAAGCACUUUAAGUUGGGAGGGAGGGAAGUAAGCUAAUACCUUGCUGUUUUGACGUUACCGACAGAAUAAGCACCGGCUAACUCUGUGCCAGCCGCCGCAGUAACAC